GCAUUUGGCGGGAUCUGUGUCUCUCGCUGGUGCUGGCACAAGAGCUUGGGAUCCGUCUCCUCUUUCGCCUCCUGCACCUUGGGAGCCCCGGGCUACUCUCUCACAGCCCCUGUUGCCCUGUGAUCUGUAGGUCCUUGGGGACGCAUAGUUAAGGUGCCAGGACAUCCUGGAAGCUGGGAAAUGACCAUGGCUGGAGAAGGAAAGAAGGUGUGUUUUGCCUGACUCAGUGACUAUAGAGAGAACCAAGUUCUGCAGGCCUGUCACCUAAGUCUCAGGUGAGUAUGAAUUCUCUUGUGUUUUUCACAGAUUGUUGCAGUGGCAGGACCAAGGUCAAAUGAGUUAUAGCCAAGUCUACAGUAAGAUGUGGCAGUAUUCUGUUUUGAAGCCGGGACCAUGAUUGGCAAGCUUGCCACUUGGUCAAGUGCUCACCCUCUGAAAAUGUCUUCCUUGGUCUUUGCCUCCAGCUGGGUGCCACAAACUCUGAACUGGAUUUCAAGGCUUUCAUGAAUGCACUUACGUUUGCUGUGGCAGCUGCAUUAUGUCGUGGGGGAUGUGGAUGCAGAACCUCACAUUCUGUCGUCUUGCUUAUGUUACUCUCCUUUAUGUUUCACUUUCUCAAAUGAAUGUCAAGCAGGUGAUUUUCAGAUUCAAAAGUUCUAAAAUAAAUUGCUCAAAUUUAUACAUUAUGUAAGCUGUUAAUAAAAUUUCUUGUAGGUGCUACAUAUUUGUUAAAAUUUUUGGUUGUAAUUUUAAGCUCACUGUAGGCAGAAAGGAAUCAUUAAGAUUUCUAUUCUUUUUUAGUCUGUAUCUAAAUGACCAUAUAUUUUAAUUCCAAAUAUUUACUUUAUACUUCAGUAAUGCUCAUUGUAUUUUGCAAAAUUUAUAUUGUUCUUUUAUUUGAAAAUAUAAGGCUUUUUUUAGCUCCUGAAAGCUAUAUUAUAGUCAUAUAGUUUUAUUAUAGUAUUUGAUAAGAAGAGCAGCAACAUAUUGAGAACAGAUAAAAUUCUGCUGUCUUUUUAAUGAUUAUUUAUUAAAUUCUUCUCAUUAGAGCCUAUUAUUAAUGAUUGUAAUGUAUUUACUGUAUAAUUUUUCUGCAAUUUAUUAAAUGCCAAUGACUUCCAAUGUCUGCUUUUCAUGACUGCACACAGUUUAAAGCUGUAGAUAUCUAAAGGGUUAUUUUUCAGCCCGGCAUGGUGGCUCACGCCUGUAAUCCCAGCACUUUGGGAGGCCAAGGUGGGUGGAUCACGAGGUCAGGAGAUCAAGACCAUCCUGGCUACCACGGUGAAACCCCGUCUCUACUAAAUAUAGAAAAAAUUAGCCGGGCAUAGUGGUGGGUGCCUGUAUUCCCAGCUACUCGAGAGGCUGAGGCAGGAGAAUGGCGUGAACCCAGUAGGCGGAGCUUGCAGUGAGCCGAGAUGGCACCACUGCACUCCAGCCUGGGCGACAGGGUGAGACUGUCUCAAAAAAAAACAAAAAGGGCUUAUUUUUCAUUGUAUAUUUAUGUUGUAUUCAGGAUUUUAUGCAUUAAAAUCUCUCUUCUUAUUUUCAGUUCUGUGUUGUUGUGUUUCUUUUCUGGGGGGGUAUGUUUUCUCAGAGCAGUUAAUUGUAUUUUUGCUUUUAAAGCUUGAUAUCAUGAGUUGAAUGAUAAUUUUUUAACUCGGUACACAUUAUGACAAUGUGAUAUUUAAUUUAUAUUUGAAUUAGCUGUGUUUGUUGCUUAUAGAUAUAUCUAUGUGUUUUUCACCUAUGUAAGUAUGUCAUUUUUUUCAUCUUUUUUCCUUGUUUUUUUUUUUUAAGUUUCAGAUAUGCUUUCUUUUUCUUUUUUUUUUUUUUUUUUUUUUUUAAAGAGAAUUUUAAAACAGAGUCAAAUGAACAAAAAUCAGUUAUUUGUCCUCUUGCAGGGCGGGGAGACCUUCCUUCCCCACGGGUUUGAGGCUAUGGCUAAGUGGUGAGCCUUGGUGAGACGCAGAAAGGAUCCAUCCCAGGCACUUGGCUAGAGGCUGAAUGCUAUCCCAGUGAUUGUACGUGCCCUGUUUGCUGAAUCUACUCAUCCUUAAGGGUACAUUUGCUUCCAGGUAACAUGUUUGUGAGUAAUACUACAAUGUGCAUAUAUCUAUUCCAUGUUCUGCUUUGUCUGUUUGGGAUAUUUUUCAUACACUGAUUCAGUACCAUGUGUAUUCCCUUGCUUUUGUUGUCUCAUCCGUUGAUGCUACGUCCCCCAAAUUAUUGCCACGACCAGUUGUAAUGAAGCUUCACCCUUCUGUAUUGUGCUAGGAAUUUUACAGCUAUAGGUUUUACAUUAUAGUCUUCAUUCAUUUUUUAAAAUUGACACAUGUAAUUGUGCAUAUUUUGGGGAAACAAUUAUAUAUAUGUGUUGUAUAACAAUAAAAAUCAGUACUUCUAUAUUUGUUGCCUCAUGCAUUUGUUAUUUUUGUGGUGAGAAUAUUCAAAAGCUCCUUCUCUAGCUAUUUUAUUUUAUCUUUAUGUAUUAAUUAUUUUAGAGACAGGAUCUUGCUCUAACACCCAGACUGGUGUGCAGUGGUGCAAUCCUAGCUCACUGUAACUUCAAACAGUCUUCUAACCUUAGUUUCCCAAUUAGCUGAGACUACAAGAAGCUGCCACCAUGCCUGGCUAAUGUUUUAAUUUUUCAUACAGACGGGGUCACACUAUGUUGUCCAGGCUCAUCUUGAACUUCUGACGUCAAGUGAUUCUCCUACCUCAAUCUCCCAAAAUGUAUGGAUUGCAAGAAUAUGCCACCAAAACUGGUCUCUUUUAGCUAUUUUGUAAUAUGAGAUAACUUUUCAUUAAUUAUUAUUAUUCUACUGUGUAAUAAAAAACAAAAACUUAUUUCCCCUAUCUAAUCAUAACACAAUACCUGUGAAGCAGACUUUUCCCAUCCUCCUGCUUCAGUCUCUGGUAACCCCUGUUGUACUCUUUGCUUCUAUCAACCCUUUUUUUCAGGUUCCUCAAAUGAGUGAGAUAAUAAGAUCAUAAAGUAUUUGUGUUUCUCUGUGUGGCUUAUUUUACUUAACAUGGUAUGCUCAAGGUUCAUCCAUGCUCUUUUUAACUGACAGAAUUUUAUGCUUUCUUAUGGCUGAAUAGUAUUUCGCUGUGUAUAUAUAGUACAUUUUCCUUAUCCAUUUAUCUGUUGCUGUACAUUUGAAUUGAUUCCAUAUAUAAGCUAUUAUAAAUAGUUCUGUAAUGAACAUGGGAAUGCAAAUAUCUUUUUGACACAGUAAUAUCCUUUCUUUUGGAUAUACACCCAGAAGUAAAAUUGCUGGAUCAUAUAAUAGAUAUAUUUUUAAUUUCUUUCAGAAACCUCCAUACUAUUUUCUAUAAUGGCCAUACUAAUUUACAAUUCCACCAACAAGGUAUACAUCCACUCUUUUUUAUAUCCUCAUUAGUUCUUGAUUUAUUUAUUUAUUUAUUUUUAUUAUAGCCAUUCUAAUGGGAAUGAGGUGGUACUUCAUUGCAGUUUGGAUUUGCAUUUCCUUGGUGAUUAGUAAUGUAGAGCAUCUUUUUGUGUUCCAGUUAGCCAUUUUUGUAUCUCUUUUUGACAAACAUCUAUUAAGAUCUUUUGCAUUUUUUAAAUUAGAUUAUAAGUGUAUUUUAUUUUGAGAUUUUAAAGUUUCUUAUAUAUUCUGAAUAUUAGCCUUUUGUCACAUGUAUAUGAAAACAUUUUCUGUCAUCGCCUAAGCUGUCUCUUCAAACUUUUAGUUGUUUUUUUAAUAUGAAAAAGCAUUUUAGUUUGACAUAAUGUUGUUUGUUUAUUCUUGAUUUUGUUGCCCAUGUUUUGAAAUCUUAUUUUAAUAAUCCUUUCACCGUCCAAUGUUAUAAAGCAUUUUUUUAUGUUUUUCUCUAAUAGUUUCAUAAUUGAUGGCAUUACAUUUAAGUCUUUAGUUUUAGUUGAUUAUCAUAUAUGGCAAGGUACAAGGGUCUAGUAUUAUUUUUCUGAAUAUAAAUAUUUAAAUGGCCCUGCACCAUUUAUUAAAGAGAUUAGCUUUUCUCUAAAGUGUGUUCUUGGUAAUUUUGUUGACAAUCUGUUGGCUUUAGGUGCAUAAAUUAACUUCCGGGCUUAUUGGGCAUAUUAGUCUAUGUGUUUGUUUUUAUGCCAGUACAGUGCUGUUUUGGUUACUGUAGCUUUAUAGCAAGUUUUGAAGUUUGAUGAAGUGAUGCCUUCAGCUUUGCUUAUUUUGCUCAAAGUUGCUUUGUCUAUUCAGAGUUUUUUGUGGAUCCAUAUAAAUUUAAAUUUUUUUAUUUCUGUGAAAAAAUGUCAUUGGUAUUUUGAUAAAAAUCACAUUAAGUCUGUAGAUCACUUUGGGUAGCUAUAUCAACAGUAUUCUUCCAGUGUAUAAACACAAUAUUUUUUAUUUAUUCAUUUGUAUUUUAUAUUUUUUAUCCAUGUUUUGUCGUUUUCAGAGUAGAGAUCUUUUACCUUUUUAGUUAAGUUUGUUGCUAGGUGUAUUAGUUGGGCUUCCCUAGAGAGAUCAUGAGAUCCCACAAUAGGUUGGUUGUCUGCAAGUUUGAGGAGCAAGGAGAGGCGGUCCAUGUCCCAAAGCUGAAGAACUUGGAGUCUGAUGUUUGAGGGCUGCAAGUGUCCAGCACAGGAGAAAGAUGUAGUCUGGGAGCUUAGGCCAGUCUCUCUUUUUCACGUUUUUCUGCCUGCUUUAUAUUCACUGUCAGCUCAUUAGAUGGUGCUCACCCAAUUAAGAGUGGAUCUCCCUUUCCCAGCCCACUGACUCAAAUGUUAAUGUCCUUUGGCAACACCCUCACAGACACACCCAGGAUCAAUGCUUUCUAUCCUCCAAUCCAAUCAAUUUGACACCCUGUAUUAGCCAUCACAUUAAGUAUUUUCAUUUUUGUAGCUUUUGCAUAUGCAGAAGAAGAAUUGGAUGAAAUUCAGCCUUGAUUAUGAUGAAAACUCUCAACAAGUUAGGAAUAGAAGGUAUGUGCCUUAACUCAAUAAAGGCCAUUUAUGAAAAAGCAAUGCUAACUUUAUACUGAAUAAGGAAAAGUUGAAAGCUUUCUCUCUGAGAUCUGGAACAAGACAAAUCGUCCAAACUUUCAGCCCUCUUAUUCAACAUAGUACUGGAAGUCCUAGCCAAGGAAAUUAGGCAAGAGGAAGAAAUAAAAGUCAUACUAAUUGAAAGGAUGAAGUCAAAUGGUCUCUGAUUGUGGACAAAAUAAUCUUAUAUGUGAAAAACUCUAAACACUACACCAAAAACUAUUAGAACUACUAAACAAAUUCUGUAACAUUGCAGAAAAUUAACACAGUAGUAGCUUUCUGUAUGAUGAUAGCGAACUAUCUGAAAAAUAAAAUUAUAAAUUCCAUUUUAAUAGCUACCAAAAAUUAGUUAUUUUGAGUUUAUUUCUUUAUUUGUGGUGGAGUCUUUCUCUGUCACCAGGCUGGAGCGCAGUGACAUGAUCUCAGCUCACUGAAACUCUUGCCUCCCGGAUUCCAGAGAUUCUCCUGCAUCAGCCUCCUGAGUGUCUGGAACUGCAGGCAUGUGCCACCACCGCCAACUAAUUUUUGUUUGUAUUUUUAGUAGAGACGUUGUUUCCCCAUGUUGGCCAGGAUGGUCUUGAUAUCCUGACCUUGUGAUUCACUUGUCUCAGUCACCCAAAGUGCUGGGAUUACAGGUGUGAGCCACCACACCCAGCCUUGAGUUUAUGUUUUUAUCUGUUGCAAGUUAAGGUCUAACUUUGUUAUUUUUUCCUUGUAAAUUUUUAUUAUUCCCAAUACUGUUUGUUGAAGAGACUGUUCUUUCCUUUUUGUGAUUCUUGGAACACAUUUUAAAAAUAUGUUUACUAUACCCAUGAGGACUUAUGUCUGGACUCUCUCAUCUGUUUCAUCAUUCAUUUGUCUUUAUGUCAGUACCAAACUGUUUUGAUUACUAUAUGUUCAUAGUAUGUUUAGAAAAUAGAAAGUAUGAUGCCUCUGUCUUUAUAUUUUUUUCCCAAUAUUGUUUGGCUGUUUGUGAUCACUUGAAAUUCCAUAAAAAUUGUAGAAUAUUUUAAAACUUCUGCAAAAAGUUUCAUUGGUAUUUUGAUAGAAAGUAUAUUGAAUCAGCUGAGGGUUGUGGCUCAUGCCUGUAAUCCCAGCACUUUGGGAGGCUGAGGAAGGUGGAACACCUGAGGUCAGGAGUUCCAGACCAGCCAUGGAGAAACCCCAUCUCUACUAAAAAUACAAAAUUAGCCAGGUGUGGUGGCACAUGCCUGUAUUCCCAGCUACUCAGGAGGCUGAGGCAGGAGAACAGCUUGAACCCAGGAGGUGGAGGCUGCAGUGAACUGAGAUCACACCAUUGCACUCCACCUUGGGCAACAAGAGCAAAACUCCGUCUCAAAAGAAAAAGAAAGAAAAGAAAAGAAAGAACAUUGAAUCCGUAGACCACUUUUGGUAGUAGUGACAUUUUAACAAUAUUAAGUCUAUAACCUCUUGAACAAGAGUGUGUUUGAGAAUUUGUUGUUUAAUUUUUACUUAUUCUUUGACAUGUUAGUGUUUUUAACUUCUUGUUUUAUUGUAUCAUAGUUAGGAAUAAUUUGUGUAAUUCCAUCUGCUGAAAUUUGCUAAGAUGUGUUUUUUAACUUAACAGGUGGUCUAUCUGGAAUAUUGUGGCAUGUGUGAUUAAAAGUAUUGCAUAUUCUACUGUUGAGUGGAGAGAUAUAAAUGUGACUGUUAGGUCUAAUUGUUCUAUUGUGUUGUUGAAAUCCUCUGUUUACUUAUUCAUCUUAUGUUUGUUUUUUAAUUUACAUUACUAAAAGUCUGAUAAAAAAGUCAUCUACUGUUA